rnacentral:rRNA from 1 species
UACGUAGGGUGCGAGCGUUGUCCGGAAUUACUGGGCGUAAAGAGCUCGUAGGUGGUUUGUCGCGUUGUCCGUGAAAACUCACAGCUUAACUGUGGGCGUGCGGGCGAUACGGGCAGACUGGAGUACUGCAGGGGAGACUGGAAUUCCUGGUGUAGCGGUGGAAUGCGCAGAUAUCAGGAGGAACACCGGUGGCGAAGGCGGGGUCUCUGGGGCAGUAACUGACGCUGAGGAGCGAAAGCGUGGGUAGCAAACAGG